rnacentral:lncRNA from 1 species
UGGGCGGGGCGUUAUGAUUGGGUGUGGCCUGCGGGGUGGGCGUGGCCUGUAGGUGGGCGUGGCCUCGGGCUAUAAGCCAGGCCCAGGUGUGGGCGGGGCCUGCCUCUGGGGGGCGGGGCCUCUUUGCCAUUUGGGCGUGGUUUAAGGAAAAGGGGGCGUGGCUUAUAACAAAGGGGCGUGGCUCGGGGCGGUGGGCGUGUCCCCCACGAGCCCCGCCCCCUCCCGCAGCUCCACCCUGGAGGGCGCCGACAGCCACAAGGGGGCGGGGCCGGGCGGGAGCCGCCUCCUGCAGCUCUACUACGGGAACCGCGCCGUGCUGUUCCUGCUGUGUGCGGCCAAUGAGGGCUUCUACUGCAGCCUCUACCUCGUCUACUUCUGGGAGGGGCCUGCCGGUCAGACUGGGAGCACUGGGAGGGGACUGGGAGGGGCUGGGGGCUACUGGGAGGGGACUGGGAGGCACUGGGAGGGGACUGGGGGGCACUGGGAGGUACUGGGAGGGGACUGGGAGCUACUGGGAGGGACUGGGAUGAAGUGGGAGAGUCACUGGGAGCUACUGGGAUGAACUGGAAGGCACUGGGGUGAUACUGGGAGUUACUGGGGAGGCAUUGGGAGCUACUGGGAUGAACUGGGAGGCACUGGGAGAUACUGGGAGGCCCUGGGGGGCACUGGGAAAUACUGGGAUAAACUGGGAGGCACUGGGGUGAUACUGGGAGGUACUGGGGGGGCACCGGGAGGUGCUGGGAGGCCCACCCCCGCCCCCCAGCCCCCUCUGGUGCCCCGUCCUGGUCCAUACUGGUUUAUAAUGGUUUGUACUGGUCUGUACUGGUCUGUACUGGUCCUUACUGGUCCUUACUGGUUCGCAGUGGUGCCGGGCGGCCCGGGGCUGUUCCGGGUGCUGCUGUGGCUCUGUGCCCCCCCCGCGCUGCUCAAGGGGGGGCUCAACCUCCUGCAGCUGGGGGGGGCCGCGCGGCGCCUGGCGGC